UUCCUUAUAUCUGGAUUGUCCCUACUUAUACUGGUGAAAAAACACUCAGUUCCUUGGGAAAAAUGCGCCUUUGUCACUAUAAUAUUGAGCAUAACAACAGCAGUGGCUGGAACAAUUUAUUAUUCUCUGGAGUUUGCUUUGAUUAGAUCGCCUCAGAGCCCCUUUCCUCAUGACACCAGUGAUCCUGAAAGAUUGGCACUAGCCUACAGAGUGGACUCAGCAGAACUUGGAUUAGCAGCCUUUGAGGUAGGAGUCUCUGUCUGGAUUUUGUGCCUGCUGCAGCGAGCAAGGAAGACA